rnacentral:lncRNA from 10 species
AUUUUGUUUUUCAGAGUCAAGGACACUUGUCUUGAGCUAGCUACACCCUUUCACAACUCAGUAAGGAGUGAAGACUGAUUUUGCAGAGCCAAUAAAGGCCCCUGGGGAAACUGGCCUCAUAUCUUGUCAUGAAGAUUUUAUACAGGUUUCCUAACCUGUGUGCUCACUGCUGCAAAGAAGAACAAGCACACAGGCAAAAAGUUUUCCCAGCAAGAAUGCCAGGGUGAAAGGAAAGAUCAAUUGGACCAGAGCACAAGUGCUGCUCCAGUUACUUGGCAGAGUACCUAAUAGUGAUCCACCACAAUACCACCAUAUAUCUGUUUGGGAAUAAACAAGGGCAAGUUGACUGCUUAAGAGUGAUGACAUGCAACUCAGUCUCUUGCAACACCACCUGAGAAAAGGAAGCACUAGCAGGAAGAACAAAUUGAUGGAGAGGAAAAGUGAUGAAUACAGAUAAGAAGCACAGCUGGUGGAGGCUCAUGUGCCAGUUUACUGGGCCUCAGGACAUUCUCCUCUAGAAGGAGGAGACAGCAUGACCCCCACUUUCUUUUAUUUUAUUAUAAUUUAAG